GUACGGAUGGUGCAGUGGUCAACACAUCUGCCUAGCAAGCAGGAGAUAUGGGUUCGAAUCCCCAUCUAGUACA